rnacentral:tRNA from 1 species
GAAGUAGCACAGCUUGGUAGUGCACUAGAUUUGGGAUCUAGGGGUCGCAGGUUCGAAUCCUGUCUUCC